rnacentral:rRNA from 1 species
AGCCUUCGGGCUAGUGGCGGACGGGUGAGUAACGCGUGGGAAUCUGCCCUCAGGAGGGGGAUAACGGCCGGAAACGGCCGCUAAUACCCCAUAUGCCGAGAGGUGAAAUGAAUUUCGCCUGAGGAUGAGCCCGCGUCUGAUUAGCUAGUUGGUGGGGUAAUGGCCCACCAAGGCGACGAUCAGUAGCUGGUCUGAGAGGAUGAUCAGCCACACUGGGACUGAGACACGGCCCAGACUCCUACGGGAGGCAGCAGUGGGGAAUUUUCCGCAAUGGGCGAAAGCCUGACGGAGCAACGCCGCGUGAGGGAUGAAGGCCUCUGGGCUGUAAACCUCUUUUCUCAAGGAAGAAGACAUGACGGUACUUGAGGAAUAAGCCACGGCUAAUUCCGUGCCAGCAGCCGCGGUAAUACGGGAGUGGCAAGCGUUAUCCGGAAUUAUUGGGCGUAAAGCGUCCGCAGGCGGCCUUGUAAGUCUGUCGUUAAAGCGUGGAGCUUAACUCCAUUUCAGCGAUGGAAACUACAAGGCUUGAGUGUGGUAGGGGCAGAGGGAAUUCCCGGUGUAGCGGUGAAAUGCGUAGAUAUCGGGAAGAACACCAGUGGCGAAGGCGCUCUGCUGGGCCAUAACUGACGCUCAUGGACGAAAGCCAGGGGAGCGAAAGGGAUUAGAUACCCCUGUAGUCCUGGCCGUAAACGAUGAACACUAGGUGUCGGGGGAAUCGACCCCCUCGGUGUCGUAGCUAACGCGUUAAGUGUUCCGCCUGGGGAGUACGCACGCAAGUGUGAAACUCAAAGGAAUUGACGGGGGCCCGCACAAGCGGUGGAGUAUGUGGUUUAAUUCGAUGCAACGCGAAGAACCUUACCAGGGUUUGACAUCCUGCGAAUCCCUUGGAAACGAGGGAGUGCCUUCGGGAGCGCAGAGACAGGUGGUGCAUGGCUGUCGUCAGCUCGUGUCGUGAGAUGUGGGUUAAGUCCGCAACGAGCGCAACCCACGUCUUAGUUGCCAGCAUUCAGUUGGGCACUCUAGAAAGACCGCGGUGAUAACCGGAGGAGGGGGUGGAAUGACGUCAGUCAUCAUGCCAUACAUCCUGGGCUACACACGUACUACAAUGCUACGGACAAAGGGUUGCAAGCUCGCGAGAGUUAGCUAAUCCCAUAAACCGUGGCUCAGUUCAGAUCGUAGGCUGCAACUCGCCUACGUGAAGGAGGAAUCGCUAGUAAUCGCAGGUCAGCAUACUGCGGUGAAUACGUUCCCGGGCCUUGUACACACCGCCCGUCACACCAUGGAAGUUGGCCAUGCCCGAAGUCGUUACUCCAACCCUUGUGGAGGAGGACGCCGAAGGUGGGGCUGAUGACUGGGGUGAAGUCGUACAAGGUAGCCGUACCGGAAGGUGCGGCUGGAUCACCUCCUAACAGGGAGACACAACUGAUCGUGAUGUCUGAGCGCCGACCAAGCGUAAGUUUGGGAAGCACUUGUCUCAGGCCACGGUCCUGUCAUCUCGAAGGUCGAUCGGUACCUCAAGG